GCCGGCAUAGCUCAGUUGGUAGAGUAGCUGAUUUGUAAUCAGCAGGCCACGGGUUCGAAUCCUGUUGCCGGCUCCA
rnacentral:tRNA from 1 species